rnacentral:rRNA from 1 species
CCUGUGAAGAUGCAGGUUACCCGCGACAGGACGGAAAGACCCCGUGGAGCUUUACUGUAGCCUGAUAUUGAAUUUUGGUACAGUUUGUACAGGAUAGGCGGGAGCCAUUGAAACCGGAGCGCUAGCUUCGGUGGAGGCGCUGGUGGGAUACCGCCCUGACUGUAUUGAAAUUCUAACCUACGGGUCUUAUCGACCCGGGAGACAGUGUCAGGUGGGCAGUUUGACUGGGGCGGUCGCCUCCUAAAGUGUAACGGAGGCGCCCAAAGGUUCCCUCAGAAUGGUUGGAAAUCAUUCGUAGAGUGCAAAGGCAUAAGGGAGCUUGACUGCGAGACCUACAAGUCGAGCAGGGACGAAAGUCGGGCUUAGUGAUCCGGUGGUUCCGCAUGGAAGGGCCAUCGCUCAACGGAUAAAAGCUACCCCGGGGAUAACAGGCUUAUCUCCCCCAAGAGUCCACAUCGACGGGGAGGUUUGGCACCUCGAUGUCGGCUCAUCGCAUCCUGGGGCUGUAGUCGGUCCCAAGGGUUGGGCUGUUCGCCCAUUAAAGCGGUACGCGAGCUGGGUUCAGAACGUCGUGAGACAGUUCGGUCCCUAUCCGUCGUGGGCGUAGGAAAUUUGAGAGGAGCUGUCCUUAGUACGAGAGGACCGGGAUGGACGCACCGCUGGUGUACCAGUUGUUCUGCCAAGGGCAUAGCUGGGUAGCUAUGUGCGGAAGGGAUAAGUGCUGAAAGCAUCUAAGCAUGAAGCCCCCCUCAAGAUGAGAUUUCCCAUAGCGUAAGCUAGUAAGAUCCCUGAAAGAUGAUCAGGUUGAUAGGUUC